rfam:Triticum urartu cultivar G1812 contig594418, whole genome shotgun sequence.
CUAGUACUCCCUCCAUCCGGAAUUACGUGUUAUCAAAGUAAAUGAAAAUGGAUCUAUCUAGAACUAAAAUACAUCUAGAUACAUCUAUUUCAAUGACAAGUAUUUCUGGACGGAGGGAAUACAAG